CAAUACAGAUGGCGCACGGCGCACGGGUGCGUAACACGUGGGUAAUCUGCCCUUCGAUGGGGAAUAACUCGCCGAAAGGCGAGCUAAUUCCGCAUAACAUUCCUUGAACCUCGGUUUGGGGACUCAAAGCCGUAAGGCGUCGGAGGAGGAACCCGCGCACGAUUAGCUAGUUGGUAGGGUAACGGCCUACCAAGGCUUUGAUCGUUAGCUGGUCUGAGAGGAUGGCCAGCCACACUGGAACUGAGACACGGUCCAGACUCCUACGGGAGGCAGCAGUGGGGAAUCUUGCACAAUGGGCGAAAGCCUGAUGCAGCGACGCCGCGUGGGGGAUGAAGCUUUUCGGAGUGUAAACCCCUUUCGACCCGGACGAAUGCCCCGCAAGGGGACUGACGGUACGGGUAUAAGAAGCCCCGGCUAACUACGUGCCAGCAGCCGCGGUAAGACGUGGGGGGCCAGCGUUGCUCGGAAUUACUGGGUGUAAAGGGUUCGUAGGCGGUGUAGCAAGUCGGGAGUGAAAUCUCUGGGCUCAACCCAGAGACUGCUUCCGAAACUGCUGUGCUUGAGUGUGGGAGAGGCGCGUGGAAUUGCAGGUGUAGCGGUGAAAUGCGUAGAUAUCUGCAGGAACACCCGUGGCGAAAGCGGCGCGCUGGACCACUACUGACGCUGAGGAACGAAAGCUAGGGGAGCAAACCGGAUUAGAUACCCUGGUAGUCCUAGCCCUAAACGAUCAGGACUUGGGGUGCCGCACGUUCGUGCGUCGUCCCGGAGCUAACGCGUUAAGUCCUGCACCUGGGGAGUACGGUCGCAAGACUGAAACUC
rnacentral:rRNA from 1 species